UACAGAGGUGGCAAGCGUUGUUCGGAAUUACUGGGCGUAAAGGGCGCGUAGGCGGCCUCCUAAGUCAGACGUGAAAUCCCCCGGCUUAACCUGGGAACUGCGUCUGAUACUGGGAAGCUUGAGUAUGGGAGAGGAAGGUAGAAUUCCAGGUGUAGCGGUGAAAUGCGUAGAUAUCUGGAGGAAUACCGGUGGCGAAGGCGGCCUUCUGGACCAUAACUGACGCUGAUCCGCGAAAGCUAGGGGAGCAAACGGG
rnacentral:rRNA from 1 species